UAAUAAAGGAACAGGACAAAAGCCUCUAAGGAUUAUAUUUUAUAGGACAUAUAUUUUGGGGUGACUAUAGGAUCUGCAACUCAAAUUUCUAUCAGAUUUCUAUGUUGUGGGUUUAGUGAUAGAGAGAAUCCAAGAUUCAAUAUCAGAAGAGGAUAAGAGGUUGAUCUAUCUUCGAGAUGGAAGUGGAGACUAUUGUCCAAGUUUGAGGUUGAAAGAGAAGGACUUUAUGAUGCCAAGGAAGAACUUUCCGCUGUGGGAUCUUAUAUGCAGAGAUCCUUCAUUUCCUAAGGCUGAGAUUCAUGGCUGGAGUGAUGGAGAAGAACUUGAACAAAUUUUGUUGCACUUGAUCAACAAAGUAUCAAUGGAGCAAAAUUCUCCCUUCAUUUCCUCUUAUUGCAAGCUUCAGACACGUCACUGCUCAUGAGGCUUUGCCCAAAGCUCUACCAGUUCGACCAUAUUUUCAUGGUUUUGUAACUUUUGCA